rnacentral:rRNA from 1 species
GUCCUUCGGGACGGAGAGAGCGGCGUACGGGUGCGGAACACGUGUGCAACCUGCCUUUAUCUGGGGGAUAGCCUUUCGAAAGGAAGAUUAAUACCCCAUAANAUAUNNNANGGCAUCNUNNNAUAUUGAAAACUCCGGUGGAUAGAGAUGGGCACGCGCAAGAUUAGAUAGUUGGUGAGGUAACGGCUCACCAAGUCAGUGAUCUUUAGGGGGCCUGAGAGGGUGAUCCCCCACACUGGUACUGAGACACGGACCAGACUCCUACGGGAGGCAGCAGUGAGGAAUAUUGGACAAUGGGUGAGAGCCUGAUCCAGCCAUCCCGCGUGAAGGACUAAGGCCCUAUGGGUUGUAAACUUCUUUUAUACUGGGAUAAACCUACUUACGUGUAAGUAGCUGAAGGUACAGUAUGAAUAAGCACCGGCUAACUCCGUGCCAGCAGCCGCGGUAAUACGGAGGGUGCAAGCGUUAUCCGGAUUUAUUGGGUUUAAAGGGUCCGUAGGCGGAUCCGUAAGUCAGUGGUGAAAUCUCAUAGCUUAACUAUGAAACUGCCAUUGAUACUGCGGGUCUUGAGUGAGAUUGAGGUAGCUGGAAUAAGUAGUGUAGCGGUGAAAUGCAUAGAUAUUACUUAGAACACCAAUUGCGAAGGCAGGUUACCAAGUCUUAACUGACGCUGAGGGACGAAAGCGUGGG